CUGGGACUGAGACACGGCCCAGACUCCUACGGGAGGCAGCAGUGGGGAAUAUUGCACAAUGGGGGAAACCCUGAUGCAGCGACGCCGCGUGGAGGAAGAAGGUCUUCGGAUUGUAAACUCCUGUUGUUGAGGAAGAUAAUGACGGUACUCAACAAGGAAGUGACGGCUAACUACGUGCCAGCAGCCGCGGUAAAACGUAGGUCACAAGCGUUGUCCGGAAUUACUGGGUGUAAAGGGAGCGCAGGCGGGAAGACAAGUUGGAAGUGAAAUCUAUGGGCUCAACCCAUAAACUGCUUUCAAAACUGUUUUUCUUGAGUAGUGCAGAGGUAGGCGGAAUUCCCGGUGUAGCGGUGGAAUGCGUAGAUAUCGGGAGGAACACCAGUGGCGAAGGCGGCCUACUGGGCACCAACUGACGCUGAGGCUCGAAAGUGUGGGUAGCAAACAGGAUUAGAUACCCUGGUAGUCCACACCGUAAACGAUGAUUACUAGGUGUUGGAGGAUUGACCCCUUCAGUGCCGCAGUUAACACAAUAAGUAAUCCACCUGGGGAGUACGACCGCAAGGUUGAAACUCAAAGGAAUUGACGGGGGCCCGCACAAGCAGUGGAGUAUGUGGUUUAAUUCGACGCAACGCGAAGAACCUUACCAAGUCUUGACAUCCCUUGACGAACAUAGAAAUAUGUUUUCUCUUCGGAGCAAGGAGACAGGUGGUGCAUGGUUGUCGUCAGCUCGUGUCGUGAGAUGUUGGGUUAAGUCCCGCAACGAGCGCAACCCUUAUGGUCAGUUACUACGCAAGAGGACUCUGGCCAGACUGCCGUUGACAAAACGGAGGAAGGUGGGGAUGACGUCAAAUCAUCAUGCCCUUUAUGACUUGGGCUACACACGUACUACAAUGGCGUUAAACAAAGAGAAGCAAGACCGCGAGGUGGAGCAAAACUCAGAAACAACGUCCCAGUUCGGACUGCAGGCUGCAACUCGCCUGCACGAAGUCGGAAUUGCUAGUAAUCGUGGAUCAGCAUGCCACGGUGAAUACGUUCCCGGGCCUUGUACACACCGCCCGUCACACCAUGAGAGCCGGGGGGACCCGAAGUCGGUAGUCUAACCGCAAGGAGGACGCCGCCGAAGGUAAAACUGGUGAUUGGGGUGAAGUCGUAACAAGGUAGCCGUAGGAGAACCUGCGGCUG
rnacentral:rRNA from 1 species